rnacentral:misc_RNA from 1 species
GAAAUGCGAUAAGUAAUGUGAAUUGCAGAAUUCAGUGAAUCAUCGAAUCUUUGAACGCACAUUGCGCCCGCCAGUAUUCUGGCGGGCAUGCCUGUCCGAGCGUCAUUUCAACCAUCAAGCCCCCGGGCUUGUGUUGGGGACCUGCGGCUGCCCGCAGGCCCUGAAAACCAGUGGCGGGCUCGCUGUCACACCGAGCGUAGUAGCAAUCACCUCGCUCAGGGCGUGCUGCGGGUUCCGGCCGUUAAACAGCCUUACAAAACCCAAGGUUGACCUCGGAUCAGGGAGGAAGACGCGCUGAACUUAAGC